ACGGAAGGCAGCAGUGGGGAAUAUUGCACAAUGGGGGAAACCCUGAUGCAGCGACGCCGCGUGAGUGAAGAAGUAUUUCGGUUUGUAAAGCUCUAUCAGCAGGAAAGAAAAUGACGGUACCUGACUAAGAAGCCCCGGCUAACUACGUGCCAGCAGCCGCGGUAAUACGUAGGGGGCAAGCGUUAUCCGGAUUUACUGGGUGUAAAGGGAGCGUAGACGGCUUUGCAAGUCUGAAGUGAAAGCCCGGGGCUCAACCCCGGAACUGCUUUGGAAACUGUAGAGCUAGAGUGCAGGAGAGGUAAGUGGAAUUCCUAGUGUAGCGGUGAAAUGCGUAGAUAUUAGGAGGAACACCAGUGGCGAAGGCGGCUUACUGGACUGUAACUGACGUUGAGGCUCGAAGGCGUGGGGAGCAAACAGGAUUAGAUACCCUGGUA
rnacentral:rRNA from 1 species